GAUGAACGCUGGCGGCGUGCCUAAUACAUGCAAGUCGAGCGAACAGACGAGGAGCUUGCUCCUCUGACGUUAGCGGCGGACGGGUGAGUAACACGUGGAUAACCUACCUAUAAGACUGGGAUAACUUCGGGAAACCGGAGCUAAUACCGGAUAAUAUAUUGAACCGCAUGGUUCAAUAGUGAAAGACGGUUUUGCUGUCACUUAUAGAUGGAUCCGCGCCGCAUUAGCUAGUUGGUAAGGUAAAGGCUUACCAAGGCAACGCGGCGUAGCCGACCUGAGAGGGGGAUCGGCGACACUAGAACGUGAACACGCUCCAGACUCCUACGGGAGGCAGCAGAAGGGAAUCUUCCGCAAUGGGCGAAAGCAUGACGGAGCAACGCCGCGUGAGUGAUGAAGGUCUUCGGAUCGUAAAACUCUGUUAUUAGGGAAGAACAAAUGUGUAAGUAACUAUGCACGUAUUGACGGUACCUAAUCAGAAAGCCACGGCUAACUACGUG
rnacentral:rRNA from 1 species